rfam:Neolentinus lepideus HHB14362 ss-1 unplaced genomic scaffold NEOLEscaffold_61, whole genome shotgun sequence.
GCCCUUAUAGCUCAGUGGUAGAGCGCAUCACUCGUACGUGAGACAGUCAUGAUGAGGUCCGUCGUUCAAUCCGGCGUGAGGGCA